rnacentral:rRNA from 1 species
GCAUGCCUUACACAUGCAAGUCGAACGGCAACAGGGAGCUUGCUCCGCUGACGAGUGGCGAACGGGUGAGUAAUAUAUCGGAACGUACCAUUCAGUGGGGGAUAACGUAGCGAAAGUUACGCUAAUACCGCAUAUUCUGUGAGCAGGAAAGCAGGGGAUCGCAAGACCUUGCGCUGAUUGAGCGGCCGAUAUCAGAUUAGCUUGGUGAGGUAAAAGCUCACCAAGGCGACGAUCUGUAGCGGGUCUGAGAGGAUGAUCCGCCACACUGGAACUGAGACACGGUCCAGACUCCUACGGGAGGCAGCAGUGGGGAAUUUUGGACAAUGGGGGCAACCCUGAUCCAGCCAUGCCGCGUGAGUGAAGAAGGCCUUCGGGUUGUAAAGCUCUAUCAGCCGGGAAGAAAACGCAUGGGUUAAUACCCUGUGUGGAUGACGGUACCGGAAUAAGAAGCACCGGCUAACUACGUGCCAGCAGCCGCGGUAAUACGUAGGGUGCGAGCGUUAAUCGGAAUUACUGGGCGUAAAGCGUGCGCAGGCGGUUUUGUAAGACAGGCGUGAAAUCCCCGGGCUUAACCUGGGAACUGCGUUUGUGACUGCAAGGCUAGAGUACGGCAGAGGGGGGUGGAAUUCCACGUGUAGCAGUGAAAUGCGUAGAGAUGUGGAGGAACACCAAUGGCGAAGGCAGCCCCCUGGGUCGAUACUGACGCUCAUGCACGAAAGCGUGGGUAGCAAACAGGAUUAGAUACCCUGGUAGUCCACGCCCUAAACGAUGUCAACUAGGUGUUGGGAGGGUAAAACCUUUUAGUACCGGAGCUAACGCGUGAAGUUGACCGCCUGGGGAGUACGGCCGCAAGGUUAAAACUCAAAGGAAUUGACGGGGACCCGCACAAGCGGUGGAUGAUGUGGAUUAAUUCGAUGCAACGCGAAAAACCUUACCUACCCUUGACAUGCCAAGAACUUUCCAGAGAUGGAUUGGUGCCCGAAAGGGAACUUGGACACAGGUGCUGCGUGGCUGUCGUCAGCUCGUGUCGUGAGAUGUUGGGUUAAGUCCCGCAACGAGCGCAACCCUUGUCGUUAAUUGCCAUCAUUUAGUUGGGCACUUUAACGAGACUGCCGGUGACAAACCGGAGGAAGGUGGGGAUGACGUCAAGUCCUCAUGGCCCUUAUGGGUAGGGCUUCACACGUCAUACAAUGGUCGGUACAAAGGGUCGCCAAGCCGCGAGGUGGAGCCAAUCCCAGAAAGCCGAUCGUAGUCCGGAUCGCAGUCUGCAACUCGACUGCGUGAAGUCGGAAUCGCUAGUAAUCGUGGAUCAGAAUGUCACGGUGAAUACGUUCCCGGGUCUUGUACACACCGCCCGUCACACC